GCUAAUACCGCAUACGCCCUACGGGGGAAAGGAGGGGACCUUCGGGCCUUUCGCGAUUGGAUGAACCCAGGUGGGAUUAGCUAGUUGGUGGGGUAAUGGCUCACCAAGGCGACGAUCCCUAGCUGGUCUGAGAGGAUGAUCAGCCACACUGGAACUGAGACACGGUCCAGACUCCUACGGGAGGCAGCAGUGGGGAAUAUUGCACAAUGGGGGAAAGCCUGAUCCAGCAAUGCCGCGUGCAGGAUGAAGGCCCUCGGGUUGUAAACUGCUUUUGUACGGAACGAAAAGACCUUUUCUAAUAAAGAGGGUCCAUGACGGUACCGUAAGAAUAAGCACCGGCUAACUACGUGCCAGCAGCCGCGGUAAUACGUAGGGUGCAAGCGUUAAUCGGAAUUACUGGGCGUAAAGCGUGCGCAGGCGGUUAUGUAAGACAGAGGUGAAAUCCCCGGGCUCAACCUGGGAACGGCCUUUGUGACUGCAUAGCUAGAGUACGGUAGAGGGGGAUGGAAUUCCGCGUGUAGCAGUGAAAUG
rnacentral:rRNA from 1 species